rnacentral:lncRNA from 1 species
CAGCUAAUUAGGUUUGUUUGCAGAUGUGCACACCUGGAUCCCUCUGAAGCUUGAUGCCAUUUCUCUAAUUUUCACUCACCUUACCCUGAGUAGCCAAUCAGCUAAAACAACUUUGCUUCAAGAAUCGCUCCAUCGGAAAGUCUUUAUCAAGCACCUACUAUGUGUGGACAGAAAAAUCACCUAGAAGAAACAGGCAUGCUUGCUUGUUUGUUGCCGUAAGGGAGAACUCAAAAUGUCUUUAGAUUAGGAUCGAUGAAGAUUUUCAAUUGUCUAGCAUUUACUUACCAUCUGCAAGAAACUGCAAGAGUCUGUGUGAUCAAUUAACAACUUGAUGAGACUAAUGGACAGCCCAAACACAGAAGCAGCACUUUGAGGGGGAAGGUCUUGGAAGAAGAAAGAGGAAAGGGUCCAGGAAGAAGAACAGGUAGCACCAAGAAGCUGUUUCCUAAAUGGCCUGUAAGCCCUCUAUUGGCUGGUGAACCUCACCUAGGAAGCAGGAUGUCCUCAUGGCAUCAGAAUUGCUAUGAAGCCUGGAUCGGUUCUCUGCCUCAGCUUGUGUAACUUGCUUCUUUGUGUCCACUACUCUAAAUUUGAUGAAAUAGUUCUCGUUUAACAUAAGGUCUCAAAGAAGAACCACAGUUAGUUGAGGCAGGUAGAAAAGUGAAGAGUUUUAGAAAUGAGGACAUAGAACUGAACAGGACUCAACAAUCAAGGAUGAACAACUGGGUCCAUUUUACCCACGCUUUGAAUCAUAGCUAGCAGAGUUAAUGGGGCCCAAAGCCUCGCCACCCUCCAGGCUUUGAGACAGAAGAGUUUCCUCUUGGGAGUAUCAAUCAGAAGAGCUGCAUGGACCAUAGAUAUGCCUUGCAGGUUGGUGUGAAUAGUGAGGGAAUGGCUGAUAUGGAGCUUCCUAAAGGCCAGCUAGCCUGACUGCUCACACAUCCGAUGCUUCAAUCACCAUUUGCUAGAGCAAUGGACGUAAUAGUUAUUCUUUGGCUAAGAGCAUCAUUGGUAAGUCUCUUGAACUACAGAUGGAAAAAGGGUAGAUGAUCACACCCCAUUGACUUGCGGUUUCUUUCAUUUUCCAAUUCUUUCUUUAUUUGUAAGAGAAAAUAAGAAUAUUAAUGUGCAGUGAGGGCACAGGCACAUAACUUCUGUAUAGAAACUGCUGGCUGUCCCUCAGUAUCCAUUCUCUUGUUUCUUCCUAAUAAUAGAAUGCUGUGAAUAAAGAACAUAUUCCCAGUCUCCCUUGAAAUAGUCAUGACCACCUGAAUAUGCUGAUAAACAGGCUUCUCUAGAGAAACAGAACCAAUGUGUGUGUGUGUCUACAUAUAUUUAUGUGUGGAGAGAGAAAGGUUUCACAUCCUCUCUGGUUUCCCAGAAGCUUUGCUCACCUCCCUUCCUUCUGGCCUGAGCCUGGGUGUUUGGGGUUGGAAAGGCUUUUCAUACCCACAUAGGAGAAUGUGUUUUAUGUAAAAUGUCCUCCCAAACAUUUAAGUUCUCAUGUUUCAUUUUCAAUAUUAAAUAAAUUAAUAAGCAGAUCCAUGCAGAAAAUUCUCAGAGAAGGAUCAAUGAAAUCUCUGUUAUACAACUUUGCAAAACACAUUUGAUUUGGCUUUGGUAUAAGUGUAAACAAAGUGCAAGUGAGAUUCAAAGGGGCCACUUAAAAUUAGAGAUACAUAUAAACAAAGGCAAUCUAAGACAGUUGGUAUUUUCUCUGGUGAGCUCAUUCUUCAACACCCGGUUUGAAUACCACCUCCUACCUCCCCGUAGACUUGAUCCCUUGCCUCAUUGUUCUCCCAACACACUUUUUAUGUCCAUGUUUGUGUGAAGUCCUUGUUACAUCACAGCAUCACUGCCCACUUUCCCAUGCAGCUUCCUAGCCCCAUUUUGGGUUUCUCCAGGGCAGGUCCUAAGCAAGAUGAAGUGGUGCACAUCAGUUAAAAGAAUAGUCGUUAAGGACAGAAUAAUUUCGUAUUUGCAAAUCCCGGGUCUAUUCACUUGCUGGCUAUGUGUAAACUACUGAGUCCAGGUUUCAGCUGUUAAAUGGACACAACAGUAGAUGGACUGUAGAAUGGUGUCAGAAUUAAAUUAGACAAACUCUGUAAAACAAUGGACACACAGUAGGGACUCAAUAAAUUGUUCUUCUCAUUGCUAGAUUGGGAUCUUCUUAAGGGCAUGUCUUAUUCUGCUUUGUAUCUCCAGAGCUUAGCACAUCAAAAACCAACAGAACAAUGAAUCUGUUAGGGAGAGAACUUUGGAAACUUCAGUCUCACCUUGAUUGAAAUCAAGAGGACAAGACUCUCUCUUCACAUAAUGCACUAACAGAGGUCAGAACCAGAUCAUUCAUUUUAGACAACUCAUUAUCAGCAAAGAAAUUCAUAUGGAAUCACACAUACAGAGUUCCUCACAGAUCCUUCAAGGGUAGUAUGGUCACAAUUUAUGAAUAACUGAGAGAUGGAAACAUGAACUAGAAAACAUGUAUAUAAACUGCCCUUGGAAGAUGGAACAAAGUCCAAAGAAGGGACUGUAGGAUGGAAUGACCCAG